AUUGAACGCUGGCGGCAUGCCUUACACAUGCAAGUCGAACGGCAGCAUGGGUGCUUGCACCUGAUGGCGAGUGGCGAACGGUUGAGUAAUGCAUCGGAACGUACCCGGAAGUGGGGGGUAACGUAGCGAAAGUUACGCUAAUACCGCAUAUUCUGUGAGCAGGAAAGAGGGGGAUCGCAAGACCUCUCGCUUUCGGAGCGGCCGAUGUCGGAUUAGCUAGUUGGCGGGGUAAAGGCCCACCAAGGCAACGAUCCGUAGCGGGUCUGAGAGGAUGAUCCGCCACACUGGGACUGAGACACGGCCCAGACUCCUACGGGAGGCAGCAGUGGGGAAUUUUGGACAAUGGGCGCAAGCCUGAUCCAGCCAUGCCGCGUGAGUGAAGAAGGCCUUCGGGUUGUAAAGCUCUUUCGGCCGGGAAGAAAUCGCACAGGUUAAUACCCUGUGUGGAUGACGGUACCGGAAUAAGAAGCACCGGCUAACUACGUGCCAGCAGCCGCGGUAA
rnacentral:rRNA from 1 species